CCUACGGGAUGCAGCAGUGAGGAAUAUUGGUCAAUGGACGAGAGUCUGAACCAGCAAAGUAGCGUGAAGGAUGACUGCCCUAUGGGUUGUAAACUUCUUUUAUAUGGGAAUAACAUGUUCCACGUGUGGGAUUUUGUAUGUACCAUAUGAAUAAGGAUCGGCUAAAUCCGUGCCAGCAGCCGCGGUAAUACGGAGGAUCCGCGCGUUAUCCGGAUUUAUUGGGUUUAAAGGGUGCGUAGGUGGAUUGUUAAGUCAGUUGUGAAAGUUUGCGGCUCAACCGUAAAAUUGCAGUGGAAAAUGGCAGUCUUGAGUACAGUAGAGGUGGGCGGAAUUCGUGGUGUAGCGGUGAAAUGCUUAGAUAUCACGAAGAACUCCGAUUGCGAAGGCAGUUCACUGGACUGCAACUGACACUGAGGCUCGAAAGUGUGGGUAUCAAACAGGAGUAGAUACCCUAGUAGUC
rnacentral:rRNA from 1 species